UAUAAGAAAGUAAUUGCAACAAAUAUAAUUGGCACAAAUUUUACAUUUCAAACUCCAAUCAACGACAAGCAAAUAACAAUCGCAAAUAUACAUCAAUGAGAGUUAUUGGACACAAUACUACUUUCGUGUCGGAGUAGUGGAGAAUCGAGCAUGGAAGGGAGAACAAGAGGCGAGAGAAGAGGAAUCGGAUCUUUACUUGAAAAACAAGAAUCUACUAUUGACGAGGAUGAAUCUUUAUUAUUGCCACCGGUGGAUUUUACUUCAGAAGUGGCGGGCUUU
rnacentral:lncRNA from 1 species